rnacentral:snRNA from 1 species
AUCGCUUCUCGGCUCUCUGAGCUAAGAUCAAAUGUGUAGUAUCUGUUCUUAUCAGCUUAAUAUCUGAUACAAUCCCCAUAGGGGAUUCAGUAUAUUAACCUCAUUUUUGAACAAAGGUGGGUGUAACGGAGCUUGCUCCGUCCCCGCUAAGGGUCGACCCGGUCUUGCAGUAUCUCGGGUCCGGCCUAUAAUAG